rnacentral:rRNA from 1 species
UACAGAGGUCUCAAGCGUUGUUCGGAUUCAUUGGGCGUAAAGGGUGCGUAGGCGGCGCGGUAAGUCGGGUGUGAAAUCUCGGAGCUUAACUCCGAAACUGCAUUCGAUACUGCCGUGCUUGAGGACUGGAGAGGAGACUGGAAUUUACGGUGUAGCGGUGAAAUGCGUAGAUAUCGUAAGGAAGACCAGUGGCGAAGGCGGGUCUCUGGACAGUUCCUGACGCUGAGGCACGAAGGCUAGGGGAGCGAACGGA